CUUCAGUUUAAUCUCUAGCAUUAACUGGAAGAAACAUUUUCUUACUCAGUCACUACAUUUGUCAAGAAAUAAUGCUAUGGUUGAACACUGCACGAAAUGAUAGAGAUUAACAGUAGCACAAUACUAGACAUUUCUUUUUUGCUAUUCUACUUAAUGCCUGAUGUAACCUCAUGAGGUGGAUGUUGUACUCCUGACUUUAGAGAUAAGAAAACUGAACUUUUGGGAGGCUAAAUAACUUACUUACAGUUACAUAGUCAAGAAAUGGAGAUGGCAAGAGUUCAGGCCUAGGUUUGUCUGAUUGCAAAUACUACAUCCUUUCUAUUGCUUCACUUUGUUUGGCUUUAAAGCUGUUAAAUGAGAAUGACCAUAAUACCCCAGAGAACUUCUGUGAGGAUUAAAUGGAUAUGCAAAAGCUCUCGACAUAA
rnacentral:lncRNA from 1 species